CAGAGUUCUUGCCCUAACGGGUAGAUCUCCCACCCUUGAUAUCUAUUCUCUUGUUGCUUUGGCGGGACGCAUUCUUGCCACGGGCUUCGGCUCGUGUGUGCCCGCCAGAGACCCAACCAACUCUUGUUUUAUGUGUCGUCUGAGUACUAUAUAAUAGUUA
rnacentral:misc_RNA from 1 species